AUUGAACGCUGGCGGCAGGCCUAACACAUGCAAGUCGAACGGUAACAGGAAACAGCUUGCUGUUUCGCUGACGAGUGGCGGACGGGUGAGUAAUGUCUGGGAAACUGCCUGAUGGAGGGGGAUAACUACUGGAAACGGUAGCUAAUACCGCAUAACGUCGCAAGACCAAAGAGGGGGACCCUCGGGCCUCUUGCCAUCGGAUGUGCCCAGAUGGGAUUAGCUUGUUGGUGGGGUAACGGCUCACCAAGGCGACGAUCCCUAGCUGGUCUGAGAGGAUGACCAGCCACACUGGAACUGAGACACGGUCCAGACUCCUACGGGAGGCAGCAGUGGGGAAUAUUACACAAUGGGCGCAAGCCUGAUGCAGCCAUGCCGCGUGCAUGAAGAAGGCCUUCGGGUUGUAAAGUACUUUCAGCGGGGAGGAAGGGAGUAAAGUUAAUACCUUUGCUCAUUGACGUUACCCGCAGAAGAAGCACCGGCUAACUCCGUG
rnacentral:rRNA from 1 species